CUUUCAGUUAGAUGUUUAUGUU
rnacentral:miRNA from 1 species